rnacentral:rRNA from 1 species
AGAACGAACGCUGGCGGCAUGCCUAACACAUGCAAGUCGAACGGGACCUUCGGGUCUAGUGGCGCACGGGUGCGUAACGCGUGGGGAUCUGCCCUUAGGUACGGAAUAACUCAGGGAAACUUGAGCUAAUACCGUAUAAUGACUUCGGUCCAAAGAUUUAUCGCCUAGGGAUGAACCCGCGUAGGAUUAGCUUGUUGGUGAGGUAAAGGCUCACCAAGGCGACGAUCCUUAGCUGGUCUGAGAGGAUGAUCAGCCACACUGGGACUGAGACACGGCCAGACUCCUACGGGAG